rnacentral:rRNA from 1 species
CUAAUCUUAUCCGUGGAUCACUCGGCUCG